rnacentral:lncRNA from 1 species
AUAGAUAAAAGAGAAACAAACAAGAAGGGAAACCCAUUUUAAUAUUUUAACUUUUCCUUUUUUUUGUCCACUCAUUCUUCACCGAUCAAAAUUGAUUUUUUUUCCUCCUCUAGAUACUCGAUAAAUAAAAUAUAAAUUAAAAUAAAAUCCAUGCUUUUAUCGUUUUAUCUUACGUUUGCAAGUGUAUAAUAUUAUUGUGGAUGCAAAUUUUCUCCUCUUCGAUCUUGGACGAUUUUGCACCUACAAAACAACUAGCACCUUAGGUUAAGGUCAAGAGCCUCACGCGCCCACGAUGAAUGGGGGGGGCUUUGGCCGAAGAACCUCCGAUGCCAAAGUUAGAAUUUUAGAGAGAAAUAGUGUUUGGAGUAUUUGUGAUUUUUUGUGAGAGAGUUGGAAUGAAUUUUUGGUGAGAAUAUGUGUUUAUUUAUAGAGUUAGGGUUUGCCCUAUUUGAAUAAUAGUAGCCAGCCAUAGGGUUUUUGUGGGGG